rnacentral:rRNA from 1 species
CCUGAUGCAGCGACGCCGCGUGAGGGAUGACGGCCUUCGGGUUGUAAACCUCUUUUAGCAGGGACGAAGCGCAAGUGACGGUACCUGUAGAAGAAGGACCGGCCAACUACGUGCCAGCAGCCGCGGUAAUACGUAGGGUGCGAGCGUUGUCCGGAAUUACUGGGCGUAAAGAGCUCGUAGGUGGUUUGUCGCGUUGUUCGUGAAAACUCACAGCUUAACUGUGGGCCUGCGGGCGAUACGGGCAGACUGGAGUGCUGCAGGGGAGACUGGAAUUCCUGGUGUAGCGGUGGAAUGCGCAGAUAUCAGGAGGAACACCGGUGGCGAAGGCGGGUCUCUGGGCAGUAACUGACGCUGAGGAGCGAAAGCGUGGGGGAGCGAACAGGAUUAGAUACCCUGGUAGUCCACGCCGUAAACGGUGGGUACUAGGUGUGGGUUUCCUUCCUUGGGAUCCGUGCCGUAGCUAACGCAUUAAGUACCCCGCCUGGGGGAGUACGGGCCGCAAGGGCUAAAACUCAAAGGAAAUUGACGGGGGGCCCGCACAAGCGGGCGGGAGCAUGUGGAUUAAUUCGAUGCAACGCGAAAGAACCUUACCUGGGGUUUGA